GACGAACGCUGGCGGCGUGCCUAACACAUGCAAGUCGAGCGGGGUUGAAGCGAGGGGUAACUCAAGCUUCUACCUAGCGGCGGACGGGUGAGUAACGCGUGGGCAACCUGCCUCAAGGUCUGGGAUAACAGCUCGAAAGGGCUGCUAAUACCGGAUAUGCCUAUGGCCUCGCAUGGGGCUAUGAGCAAAGGGGAAACCCGCCUUGAGAUGGGCCCGCGUCCCAUCAGCUAGUUGGUGAGGUAACAGCUCACCAAGGCGACGACGGGUAGCCGGCCUGAGAGGGUGACCGGCCACACUGGGACUGAGACACGGCCCAGACUCCUACGGGGGGCAGCAGUGGGGGAUCUUGCACAAUGGGCGAAAGCCUGAUGCAGCGACGCCGCGUGAGCGAAGAAGGCCUUCGGGUUGUAAAGCUCUGUCUGGAGGGACGAAGGAAGUGACGGUACCUCCGGAGGAAGCCACGGCUAACUACGUG
rnacentral:rRNA from 1 species